GUCCUGGAUGGCGCAGAGGUUAGCGCACCUGCCUAAUAAGCAGGAGAUCCCGGUUUCGAAUCCCGGCCAGGGACA